rnacentral:rRNA from 1 species
GCUUGUCUCAAAGAUUAAGCCAUGCAUGUGUUAGUAUAAACGCCUUUAUACUGUGAAACUGCGAACGGCUCAUUAUAUCAGUUAUAGUUUAUUUGAUACUUUUCGACUAUUGGAUAACCGUAGUAAUUCUAGAGCUAAUACAUGCGCCAAGUCCCGUCUUACGUCGGGAUGUAUUUAUUAGAUUUCAAUCAACACUUUUUGCUGACUCAUGAUAACUUAGCGGAUCGCAGAGGCCUCGCGCCGGCGACAAAUCAUUCAAGUUUCUGCCCUAUCAGCUUUCGAUGGUACGGUAUUGGCCUACCAUGGUUACCACGGGUAACGGGGAAUUAGGGUUCGGUUCCGGAGAGGGGGCCUGAGAAAUGGCCACCACAUCCAAGGAAGGCAGCAGG